UACGAAGGGGGCUAGCGUUGCUCGGAAUCACUGGGCGUAAAGGGUGCGUAGGCGGGUCUUUAAGUCAGGGGUGAAAUCCUGGAGCUCAACUCCAGAACUGCCUUUGAUACUGAGGAUCUUGAGUCCGGGAGAGGUGAGUGGAACUGCGAGUGUAGAGGUGAAAUUCGUAGAUAUUCGCAAGAACACCAGUGGCGAAGGCGGCUCACUGGCCCGGUACUGACGCUGAGGCACGAAAGCUAGGGUAGCAAACGGG
rnacentral:rRNA from 1 species